UACGUAGGGUGCAAGCGUUGUCCGGAAUUAUUGGGCGUAAAGAGCUUGUAGGCGGUUUGUCGCGUCUGCUGUGAAAUUUCGGGGCUCAACCCCGAACUUGCAGUGGGUACGGGCAGACUAGAGUGUGGUAGGGGAGACUGGAAUUCCUGGUGUAGCGGUGAAAUGCGCAGAUAUCAGGAGGAACACCAGUGGCGAAGGCGGCUCACUGGCCCGGUACUGACGCUGAGGUGCGAAAGCGUGGGGAGCAAACAGG
rnacentral:rRNA from 1 species